GAUGAACGCUAGCGGCAGGCCUAAUACAUGCAAGUCGAACGGUGUAGCAAUACACAGUGGCGCACGGGUGCGUAACACGUAUGCAACCUACCUUACAUUGGGGGAUAGCCUUUCGAAAGGGAGAUUAAUACCGCAUAAGACAGUAACUAGGCAUCUAGUAGCUGUUAAAGAUUUAUCGAUGUAAGCUGGGCAUGCGUCCAAUUAGUUAGUUGGCGAGGUAAUGGCUCACCAAGACGAUGAUUGGUAGGGGAACUGAGAGGUCAAUCCCCCACACUGGCACUGGGAUACGGGCCAGACUCCGACGGGAGGCAGCAGUAGGGAAGAUUGGGCAAUGGGCGCAAGCCUGACCCAGCCAUGCCGCGUGCAGGAAGAAGGCGUUAUGCGUUGUAAACUGCUUUUAUACAGGAAGAAACGACCCUUGCGAGGGGCAUUGACGGUACUGUAUGAAUAAGCACCGGCUAACUCCGUGCCAGCAGCCGCGGUAAAAC
rnacentral:rRNA from 1 species